rnacentral:lncRNA from 1 species
AAUUGUUAUGUUAUCAUUAGUUGUGUAUGAUUCAUGAAAUGUUUAUUAUGUUUUCUUUUUUUACUUAGGGAGCUUAUUUGAGUGCAAUUGCUGAAAAUGUGAAUAACAAUUGUGAGAGUCAGUUUGCUUUUGAUUUGAAUAAGUGGAUUGAAAUUUCUGGAAGUAGCAAAGGAAGAGUUUAUGGUUUUGGAUCCUCUGAUAUUGCAAAAUCAGGAACUCCAACUACAUCUUUCUCAUGCACAUCAGCUCAUCCUGGAGGACCUUCUCAAACUAUGUUUUCUUUAGAGGAGGUUGAACAAAUAUUAGAGCAAAACCGGAUCAAAAUGAAACAAGACAUGGAGCAAAUGCAAGAGCAAAUGCGAGAGCAAAUGCGAGUGCAGAUAGAAAAACAAAUAAAAGAUCAUAUGAAAUCAUUGAAGAACAAAAAUAGAUCUUCACCGCAUAACACAAC